rnacentral:ncRNA from 1 species
AACCGAUAAUGGCAAACUUACUGAAAAGUAAGGACGCAAAGCUACGGGUCUAAUGCUGAGAAGCGAUGAUCGCCGGGCCGCCGAA